rnacentral:lncRNA from 1 species
ACUCAGGAGUGAGCCCCUUGACAGCAGGGCAUCGUAGGUCCCCACGUGUCCCCCUCCAGCCUCUGGAGGAGAACUUUGAACCUGAGAGAAGAUUGAGGUUUAAAAUGAAGAGGAUUUCUCUAGUUUUUUACAUGUUAGAAAAUUUCCACUGAAUUUUUUUUCAAAUGAAAGAUGAAUGAAUGAAUGGAUGGAUGGAUGAAUAACUUAAUGAAUGGAAGGAGGCAGACCUGUUUAGGAGCCGGAGAAACAUUCCAGAGAAUCCAGUUUUCUUGACUUUGCCGUUGCCACAAUAGUUGAUGUGUUCAAAGGAUUCAGCAUGUGACUGUGAGUUAAGAAGCUGCCCAGAAGUCGUCCAGUUCCUGCUUGUGGCCUUUCCUUGUGACUUUCUGGAGACUCAACCCUCAUCGCCCGUGGAGGCGAGGCCAGCUUUGUCCUCCUGCCUUCGCCGCUGCUGCCUGGGCUCCGCUCUUCCCCAGCCGCUAAUGGGCCGAAGAGGAAACUUGACCUCAGAGAAGAUCAAUUAUUUGUCCAAGCUCACAUAACCAGUAAAUGGCAAAGUCAUGUCUAGAAUCAAAAUCUAUCGGACUAACAAAUACGACCAUCAAAGUCUAGUGGAAGAGGAAUUCUCGACAAUACCCUGGGAUAAGUAUCUUUUGGUGUCUCUUGUUGUGCAGAAAUUUUGCAUUUGAUAGUGUCCAUGUUAUCAAUCUUUACGUUGUGAUUUAUGCACUGUCCUAGUUAAGUAAUCUUUUUCUGCUCUGAUGUCAUAAAGAUAUUCUUUUGUACUGUCUUCAAAAAGUUUUAAAGAUUUUUUGUCUUUAGUCCGUCUGGAAUUUAUUUUUGUAAGUGAAUUAAAGCAAGGAACUAAUUUUAUUAUUUUCUCGUGUGUGUUAAUAGUAAGCUGCCCAAGGUCAUUUACUAAACGUUCUUUUGGAAGAACUCACUCCUUCCACUGAUUUAUAAUGCUGCUUCUGGCAUUCAUUCAUUCAACAACCAUGUAUCGGGCACUAUUUGAGUCCCUGGAAAAAAAUGCUGAAACCCAGAAGCCCAGAGAGGCCUAGACAUAGUUGUGGAAGGUGGAAGUACUUCAGUGUUCCUUGCAGGAAGAAAACCAUCCUGCUAUUGGCCAACUGCAAAUACAUGGGGAAUCCAGAGGAUGAUGUAAGGAGAAACCUUACACCGCUCCCCACCAAGUUUGUUUUUUAAGGAUGUGCUCCAGCGAAACUAGGGAAAGAAGAAGAUGUGAAACCCAGGCGACCCAGGAUUCCACCCCAGAGAACAACAAAGAGAGUCCCCAAUGGCAGCUGUGCAGGAGACCUAGAGGCUGCCCAUCUAGUCUGAGCAGGAGGACAGAGGCUCCUAGAGAAAUGUCCCCACGUUGAAACAGAAAGAGGAGUUUGAUGAAAAAUUUUCAAACCAAGUGGACUGCUGAUUUACAAGGAGAGGGAUUUUAGGUGAAUCAGCUUUCCAUCUAGCAAGGUGGAAGCACACAGCAGG